rnacentral:rRNA from 1 species
AGCAGUCGCCACGGGAAUACGUAGGGUGCAAGCGUUAAUCGGAAUUACUGGGCGUAAAGCGUGCGCAGGCGGUUCGCUAAGACAGAUGUGAAAUCCCCGGGCUUAACCUGGGAACUGCAUUUGUGACUGGCGGGCUAGAGUAUGGCAGAGGGGGGUAGAAUUCCACGUGUAGCAGUGAAAUGCGUAGAGAUGUGGAGGAAUACCGAUGGCGAAGGCAGCCCCCUGGGCCAAUACUGACGCUCAUGCACGAGAGCGUGGGGAGCAAACAGGAUUAGAUACCCGCGUAGUCCCUGUCUCUUAUAC